rnacentral:rRNA from 1 species
GCNCCUUNCGCUGUGNGACAUNCCUCUAUANACAUGCAAGUCGAACGAUGAAGCCCUUCGGGGUGGAUUAGUGGCGAACGGGUGAGUAACACGUGGGCAAUCUGCCCUUCACUCUGGGACAAGCCCUGGAAACGGGGUCUAAUACCGGAUAANACUCCUGCCUGCAUGGGCGGGGGUUGAAAGCUCCGGCGGUGAAGGAUGAGCCCGCGGCCUAUCAGCUUGUUGGUGGGGUAAUGGCCCACCAAGGCGACGACGGGUAGCCGGCCUGAGAGGGCGACCGGCCACACUGGGACUGAGACACGGCCCAGACUCCUACGGGAGGCAGCAGUGGGGAAUAUUGCACAAUGGGCGAAAGCCUGAUGCAGCGACGCCGCGUGAGGGAUGACGGCCUUCGGGUUGUAAACCUCUUUCAGCAGGGAAGAAGCGAAAGUGACGGUACCUGCAGAAGAAGCGCCGGCUAACUACGUGCCAGCAGCCGCGGUAAUACGUAGGGCGCAAGCGUUGUCCGGAAUUAUUGGGCGUAAAGAGCUCGUAGGCGGCUUGUCACGUCGGAUGUGAAAGCCCGAGGCUUAACCUCGGGUCUGCAUUCGAUACGGGCUAGCUAGAGUGUGGUAGGGGAGAUCGGAAUUCCUGGUGUAGCGGUGAAAUGCGCAGAUAUCAGGAGGAACACCGGUGGCGAAGGCGGAUCUCUGGGCCAUUACUGACGCUGAGGAGCGAAAGCGUGGGGAGCGAACAGGAUUAGAUACCCUNGGUAGUCCACGCCGUAAACGUUGGGNAACUAGGUGUUGGCGACAUUCCACGUCGUCGGUGCCCCAGCUAACGCAUNAAUUNCCCGCCUGGGGGAUNCNGNCNCAAGGCUAAACUCAANGNAUUGACGGGGGCCCNNCCAACNGGGGGANNUGUGGCUUNAU